UAUAUAUCGCAUGAUGUAUAUGGAAAAGCUCCGACGGCAAAGGAUGGGCCCGCGGCCUGUUAGCUAGUUGGUGGGGUAACGGCCUACCCAAGGCAAUGAUGGGUAGCCGGGUUGAGAGACCGACCGGCCAGAUUGGGACUGAGACACGGCCCAGACUCCUACGGGAGGCAGCAGUGGGGAAUCUUGCACAAUGGGCGAAAGCCUGAUGCAGCGACGCCGCGUGCGGGAUGAAGGCCUUCGGGUCGUAAACCGCUUUCAGCAGGGACGAGGCCGCAAGGUGACGGUACCUGCAGAAGAAGCCCCGGCUAACUACGUGCCAGCAGCCGCGGUAAU
rnacentral:rRNA from 1 species